UGCUUGGUUGGUCAAUAGAAGAUAAAACCUCAAAACCCAUUCCUUUUUCUUUUACUUGUGAUUUCUCACUCAAGAAACCCCCAACCCCAGUAAAACCCCAACCCCAUUCGUGUCUCUCUCCUCUGUUCGCCUGUUCCAUUCGUCGGCGUCUUAUGCUCACCGGAGCCGCGCCCCUCCUCGCCAGUGUUCUUGUCGUGCGUGUGGUGCUGCUCGCAAGCCACCACACCACUGCUGUGGGUUGCAGCCUUGUUUCUCUCUCCUCGUCCCCUGCUUUCCGCCUCGCCGGAAUCCGGUGGUUUCAUCCCCGAUGAUGCGAGUUGUUUUGGGAUUGCUGCUCGCCGAAGCUUUGUUGCUGGUCGUUCUUCUCCGACUCGUCCCUCUCUCUUUCUUCGUCCAUCUUGUUUUUGUGGUUGCACUCGCCAUCGCCAUCACUCCUCUCUUCUAUCGGCGGUUGUGUUCAAUCGCUGCUGCCGCUGUUGUUGUGGUUGAUGGUGCUCGCCGUCAAAGCUUCGAGAACCCCUUCAUCCUUCUGCUUCUCUGUUCUUCGCCGCUCUUGAAGCAGAGCUUUGAAACCUCCCCCUCAACCCCUCUGUUUCUCGAUUCUUCGCUGCUCCUAAUAGAGUAGAGAGUCAAACAUUGUUGCAGGUUUGGUGUUGUGAGCUUAGGAUUUUGAAGCGAAGCAAGAUAAAGAUGUCGUCGUAGCUUAUGCAUUGAGUUUGUAUUUUAGAUAGUCAAUUAAGGAAUAGAAUCUGAUAUAUUUCGUUGUAUACAAUAUUUGGGAAUAUUAGUCGAGAUAUAGGUGUAAUUGAAGUCUUAUAUAAAGCAUUUUGUUUUGUGGGCCAAUAAACCACAUGUCCAGGAUCGUUUUAUAGGUUAUGUUUUCGCUGCGAGUAAAUAUUUAAUUCGAGGCUUAUUAAGCA